rnacentral:rRNA from 1 species
CUUAGUCAACACCAUACCAUCCAAAUAGCUGAUCUCAUCUGAUUUCAGAAGCUAAGCAGAGUAAGGUUUCAGUUACUGCUUGGACUGGGAGACCACCUGGGAUCUGUGAAUUAGGGCUAAGA